GAGUAAUGCCUAGGAAAUUGCCCUGAUGUGGGGGAUAACCAUUGGAAACGAUGGCUAAUACCGCAUGAUGCCUACGGGCCAAAGAGGGGGACCUUCGGGCCUCUCGCGUCAGGAUAUGCCUAGGUGGGAUUAGCUAGUUGGUGAGGUAAGGGCUCACCAAGGCGACGAUCCCUAGCUGGUCUGAGAGGAUGAUCAGCCACACUGGAACUGAGACACGGUCCAGACUCCUACGGGAGGCAGCAGUGGGGAAUAUUGCACAAUGGGCGCAAGCCUGAUGCAGCCAUGCCGCGUGUGUGAAGAAGGCCUUCGGGUUGUAAAGCACUUUCAGUCGUGAGGAAGGUAGUGUAGUUAAUAGCUGCAUUAUUUGACGUUAGCGACAGAAGAAGCACCGGCUAACUCCGUGCCAGCAGCCGCGGUAAUACGGAGGGUGCGAGCGUUAAUCGGAAUUACUGGGCGUAAAGCGCAUGCAGGUGGUUUGUUAAGUCAGAUGUGAAAGCCCGGGGCUCAACCUCGGAAUUGCAUUUGAAACUGGCAGACUAGAGUACUGUAGAGGGGGGUAGAAUUUCAGGUGUAGCGGUGAAAUGCGUAGAGAUCUGAAGGAAUACCGGUGGCGAAGGCGGCCCCCUGGACAGAUACUGACACUCAGAUGCGAAAGCGUGGGGAGCAAACAGGAUUAGAUACCCUGGUAGUCCACGCCGUAAACGAUGUCUACUUGGAGGUUGUGGCCUUGAGCCGUGGCUUUCGGAGCUAACGCGUUAAGUAGACCGCCUGGGGAGUACGGUCGCAAGAUUAAAACUCAAAUGAAUUGACGGGGGCCCGCACAAGCGGUGGAGCAUGUGGUUUAAUUCGAUGCAACGCGAAGAACCUUACCUACUCUUGACAUCCAGAGAACUUUCCAGAGAUGGAUUGGUGCCUUCGGGAACUCUGAGACAGGUGCUGCAUGGCUGUCGUCAGCUCGUGUUGUGAAAUGUUGGGUUAAGUCCCGCAACGAGCGCAACCCUUAUCCUUGUUUGCCAGCGAGUAAUGUCGGGAACUCCAGGGAGACUGCCGGUGAUAAACCGGAGGAAGGUGGGGACGACGUCAAGUCAUCAUGGCCCUUACGAGUAGGGCUACACACGUGCUACAAUGGCGCAUACAGAGGGCGGCCAACUUGCGAAAGUGAGCGAAUCCCAAAAAGUGCGUCGUAGUCCGGAUUGGAGUCUGCAACUCGACUCCAUGAAGUCGGAAUCGCUAGUAAUCGUGGAUCAGAAUGCCACGGUGAAUACGUUCCCGGGCCUUGUACACACCGCCCGUCACACCAUGGGAGUGGGCUGCAAAAGAAGUAGGUAGUU
rnacentral:rRNA from 1 species